rnacentral:rRNA from 1 species
GGGAAACCCAGUGUGACUCGUCACACUAUCAUUAACUGAAUCCAUAGGUUAAUGAGGCGAACCGGGGGAACUGAAACAUCUAAGUACCCCGAGGAAAAGAAAUCAACCGAGAUUCCCCCAGUAGCGGCGAGCGAACGGGGAGGAGCCCAGAGCCUGAAUCAGCAUGUGUGUUAGUGGAAGCGUCUGGAAAGGCGCGCGAUACAGGGUGACAGCCCCGUACACAAAAGCGCAUGUGCUGUGAGCUCGAUGAGUAGGGCGGGACACGUGGUAUCCUGUCUGAAUAUGGGGGGACCAUCCUCCAAGGCUAAAUACUCCUGACUGACCGAUAGUGAACCAGUACCGUGAGGGAAAGGCGAAAAGAACCCCGGCGAGGGGAGUGAAAAAGAACCUGAAACCGUGUACGUACAAGCAGUGGGAGCACCCUUUGGGUGUGACUGCGUACCUUUUGUAUAAUGGGUCAGCGACUUAUAUUCUGUAGCAAGGUUAACCGAAUAGGGGAGCCGGAGGGAAACCGAGUCUUAACCGGGCGUUAAGUUGCAGGGUAUAGACCCGAAACCCGGUGAUCUAGCCAUGGGCAGGUUGAAGGUUGGGUAACACUAACUGGAGGACCGAACCGACUAAUGUUGAAAAAUUAGCGGAUGACCUGUGGCUGGGGGUGAAAGGCCAAUCAAACCGGGAGAUAGCUGGUUCUCCCCGAAAGCUAUUUAGGUAGCGCCUCGUGAAUUCAUCUCCGGGGGUAGAGCACUGUUUCGGCUAGGGGGCCAUCCCGGCUUACCAACCCGAUGCAAACUGCGAAUACCGGAGAAUGUUAUCACGGGAGACACACGGCGGGUGCUAACGUCCGUCGUGAAGAGGGAAACAACCCAGACCGCCAGCUAAGGUCCCAAAGUCAUGGUUAAGUGGGAAACGAUGUGGGAAGGCCCAGACAGCCAGGAUGUUGGCUUAGAAGCAGCCAUCAUUUAAAGAAAGCGUAAUAGCUCACUGGUCGAGUCGGCCUGCGCGGAAGAUGUAACGGGGCUAAACCAUGCACCGAAGCUGCGGCAGCGACACUGUGUGUUGUUGGGUAGGGGAGCGUUCUGUAAGCCUGUGAAGGUGUGUCGUGAGGCAUGCUGGAGGUAUCAGAAGUGCGAAUGCUGACAUAAGUAACGAUAAAGCGGGUGAAAAGCCCGCUCGCCGGAAGACCAAGGGUUCCUGUCCAACGUUAAUCGGGGCAGGGUGAGUCGACCCCUAAGGCGAGGCCGAAAGGCGUAGUCGAUGGGAAACGGGUUAAUAUUCCCGUACUUGGUGUUACUGCGAAGGGGGGACGGAGAAGGCUAUGUUGGCCGGGCGACGGUUGUCCCGGUUUAAGCGUGUAGGUGUGUGUUCCAGGUAAAUCCGGUUCACUUUAACACUGAGGCGUGACGACGAGGCACUACGGUGCUGAAGCAACAAAUGCCCUGCUUCCAGGAAAAGCCUCUAAGCAUCAGGUAACAUCAAAUCGUACCCCAAACCGACACAGGUGGUCAGGUAGAGAAUACCAAGGCGCUUGAGAGAACUCGGGUGAAGGAACUAGGCAAAAUGGUGCCGUAACUUCGGGAGAAGGCACGCUGACACGUAGGUGAAGUGAUUUACUCAUGGAGCUGAAGUCAGUCGAAGAUACCAGCUGGCUGCAACUGUUUAUUAAAAACACAGCACUGUGCAAACACGAAAGUGGACGUAUACGGUGUGACGCCUGCCCGGUGCCGGAAGGUUAAUUGAUGGGGUCAGCGCAAGCGAAGCUCCUGAUCGAAGCCCCGGUAAACGGCGGCCGUAACUAUAACGGUCCUAAGGUAGCGAAAUUCCUUGUCGGGUAAGUUCCGACCUGCACGAAUGGCGUAAUGAUGGCCAGGCUGUCUCCACCCGAGACUCAGUGAAAUUGAACUCGCUGUGAAGAUGCAGUGUACCCGCGGCAAGACGGAAAGACCCCGUGAACCUUUACUAUAGCUUGACACUGAACAUUGAGCCUUGAUGUGUAGGAUAGGUGGGAGGCUUUGAAGUGUGGACGCCAGUCUGCAUGGAGCCGACCUUGAAAUACCACCCUUUAAUGUUUGAUGUUCUAACGUGGACCCGUUACCCGGGUUGCGGACAGUGUCUGGUGGGUAGUUUGACUGGGGCGGUCUCCUCCUAAAGAGUAACGGAGGAGCACGAAGGUUGGCUAAUCCUGGUCGGACAUCAGGAGGUUAGUGCAAUGGCAUAAGCCAGCUUGACUGCGAGCGUGACGGCGCGAGCAGGUGCGAAAGCAGGUCAUAGUGAUCCGGUGGUUCUGAAUGGAAGGGCCAUCGCUCAACGGAUAAAAGGUACUCCGGGGAUAACAGGCUGAUACCGCCCAAGAGUUCAUAUCGACGGCGGUGUUUGGCACCUCGAUGUCGGCUCAUCACAUCCUGGGGCUGAAGUAGGUCCCAAGGGUAUGGCUGUUCGCCAUUUAAAGUGGUACGCGAGCUGGGUUUAGAACGUCGUGAGACAGUUCGGUCCCUAUCUGCCGUGGGCGCUGGAGAACUGAGGGGGGCUGCUCCUAGUACGAGAGGACCGGAGUGGACGCAUCACUGGUGUUCGGGUUGUCAUGCCAAUGGCACUGCCCGGUAGCUAAAUGCGGAAGAGAUAAGUGCUGAAAGCAUCUAAGCACGAAACUUGCCCCGAGAUGAGUUCUCCCUGAGACUUAAAGUCUCCUGAAGGAACGUUGAAGACGACGACGUUGAUAGGCCGGGUGUGUAAGCGCAGCGAUGCGUUGAGCUAACCGGUACUAAUGAACCGUGAGGCUUAACCU